GCCCUUUCUCCCGGAUCGGCCCUAAUUCCCGGCCAGGCGCCGGGACCGGCCGCGCGGGGCUGGCUCUCGGCCACGGGCGUGCGGCUCCCCGGCCUGAUUCUGCGAGGGGGUGAGAUUUCGCUCUCCGGAAUUGGGCACCUCUACCAACCGAGCGACAGGGACCCCGAGAACCAACGCCGCUCAUAUUACAUUGGUUAUUUAUUUUUUCAGUGUCCCCACGCCCACCCCGAGCAGUGUGGGGAGUGAGGGGACAGGACAGAGGCCGGAAAAGUCAGCCUCCUCUGGCGUCGUUUUAAGAAAAAACUGGGAGGCUCCGAUCUGCAGCCAGCGUCCCCAGGAUCUGCUGCGGCCGCAGAUUUCGUCGGACUCGCGUCGGAGCUGGGGACAUACCGGGUCGGGAGCUGCGUCUCCCCUUGAUGUGCUCCGAGGAGCAGAUAGGAUCGGAGAUCCCGGGCCGAUCGCGGCCUCACCAGGUUGGGGAGAAGCAGAUGUCCAGCGCCGGGUCGCCUGGUCACGCGGAGAAGCUUCCCGCUGCGGGGCGGCCGCUGUGUGGGUGGAGAAGCCGAGCGGCGUUGCGGGCUGGGCCCAGGGCCCGCACCUCGGGAGCGGACACUUGGAAAUGUGCCUUUCCCCUUUGCCCCGCCUGGGCGCUCCCCCAACCCAGAAAACAGGCAGGCGGGAGGAAGGGGGGUGUUGUCCCACAUCCGGCGGGGCCUGUUGGUCUUCAAGCACGCCUUAGAGCUUUCAGAAAGGGCUUGUGCGAUUUUUGUAAGAUUUAGGAUUCCCUCCGCCCUGAGCAAAUUAACUUUAUGCAGCUUCCACCCAGAUUCUCCCUUCCUCCACGCUGUGCCUUUGGGUGGUGCCCACGCUCGAGGGGAGCUCUUUUGUGGAAUUAUGUUGAGGUUUGGGUUGGCUUUGUGUAGCUGGAUACCCUCUAAUGGCUUCUUCCUUCCCUCCUCUCCUCCUGCAGGCCUCCCCUCUAAUCACUGGAGGAGGGCAGCAGGCCGUCACUCAGGAAUCGUCCUGCUUCCUCAGACCAGCCUCACCUGCGGCCUGGAGACCAGUGUCCACAGGUUGCUGCCCCCCCACCCCCAAUAAGUGGGGUUAGCAUGGAGAUGGCGGUGCUGCUUUGGCAGAGUUCAUGCCACCACCAGCAGUUUGCAUCUGGACCACUGCUCAGUUAAUGCCACGGCACUGAGAGGCAAAAGUGCCCAUGACAUUAGGGAGUAUUUCUGAGGAGCCAGCCUAAGUGCUUUUCAGGGGACAGGUGGAGAAAUUAACCUGGGGUGGCUUUUCAGGAACCAGCCAUCCCUGGGCCCUCCCCCUACCCAUUCUGUGAUCAGGAGGCCCCAAAUAAUUAGACAUUCCCUGGUGAUUAAGGGUCCCCAGAGUUGCAGUAAAACUCUCCUGCAGCCCUAAACGUGUGUAAAUAGAGUGUUGCCAUAACUUCACCAGCCUCAUUUUCCCAGCAGCAGGCAGACUAUGGGUUUCAUUUUUUGAGACCCAGGGAGGGCCGCUGGCAGGAGUGUGCCUAGCCAGGUAAUUUGGUGAAGAUACCUCCACUGGAGUGGGGGAGGGAGAGAGAUGUGAGUCACCCCAGUGGAAAGGGUUUCCCCAUCCUGACAGUCUCACCAAGGAUCAAUGAACCUCCCCAACUGCCUCCAGAGCCUGCCCACACCCAGCCACUACCUGCAUUUAACGGCCAGGUGACCCAGCCCAGUACCUCUUUCUACCCACUUCAUGCCUCUCCUCCGUGGGUUAAACGCCCCCAGAAGCACCUUGUAACUGUUUCUUCUAGUUCAACCCAGGCCUCACCCUGGAGUGAGAGACGAUGGGGUGGAGAGACGAUGGGACCCUCGUGGGGACCAAAGGAAAAGCUAAGCAAGUCAAGCCUUCAAGCCUCAAGGUGGCCUGGCGGUCACAUUGCCAGGAGGGCUGCUGGGCCAGACCUACUCCAUCUUCCUAGCCUGAGAGCCUCCUGAUGGCUGCCCAGGCCCAGGGUCACCAAAAGCAGGCACCCUGAAGCCACGUGGGCUCUCCCUUUCUCCCCAUCCUUCCCAUACCCUCUCCACUGUAGUUUUAUCGUGCCAAUGCUCCAGCACCCUGCAACUUGCCCUUUUGGAUGUUUCUUGAACUUCAAAAAUUUCCAUGAAAGUGCCUUUUAACUGAUGGACAGGCGUGUCUCGGGUCACACGCCUGUCUGCAGCUGGGGGCAGACAGGGUGUUUGGUGGGGGUGUCUGCAGCUGGGGGCAAGGACAGAGGCGUGAACAGGAAGGAGCCACAAGUAGGAGGCGGGAGAAGAGGAAACAGAAGUUCCAGUUGGACUUUCUGACAGCAUCUGGAAAGGAAGCUUGGAGAGCGAUCUUGGAAGGAGGGGAGGGGGAGGAGAAGCAAAUUGGGGCCCCACCCCACCAUUUGAUUUCUAAUUUCCUUUUCAUAUGGGCCCUCCAGAAAAAUUAAUUUAAAAGAUUUUAAGACAAGGAAAAGAGGUGACUGUCCUGUAGUCCCUCGGACCUUCGGUGGGGUAAAAACUAGGGGUGGGAGAUGAGAGUGGGGACUUGGUAGGAGGCAGCCGCUCGGGAGUAGUUUGUUCCACGUGGUUUUGAAGGCUUGGCUGAACCAUCCCCUUCCCUUCUCCUUCCAGAAAGAAGAUCUGGUUAUAAUACGCAGUGCUCCUUUACUCUCUUUCCCCAACACGGAGUUCCACAUCGUGUUCCUGAGCUCUUCCGGGUCUGCAUGCACGCUUCAGGAGGCUCCGUGGCUGGGGUGGGAUCCGACCGCAUGCACGCGGCUCCCUGCACACGCGCGCACACACGCGCGCACACUUACAGUGAGUGUCUGCAGGAAGAGGGGCCUGCGCGUCGGCUCUGCGUUAAACACGGGAAGCUGCCCAGGUUACCAAAGUCAAAUGUAAGUGACAAUUCCCCUCUCCAGCAAGGCGGACUUCCAGAAGUCCCUUUGUAUCUCGGCAGCUCAUUUAAUGUUAUUUAUGCAUUUUGUGCAAG
ensembl:lncRNA